rnacentral:rRNA from 1 species
UACGGAGGGUCCAAGCGUUAUCCGGAUUCAUUGGGUUUAAAGGGUGCGCAGGCGGAACUUUAAGUCAGUGGUGAAAUCUUGCCGCUUAACGGUAAAAUUGCCAUUGAUACUGAAGUUCUUGAAUAUGGUUGAGGUAGGCGGAAUGUGUUGUGUAGCGGUGAAAUGCAUAGAUAUGACACAGAACGCCGAUUGCGAAGGCAGCUUACUAAGCCAUGAUUGACGCUGAGGCACGAAAGCGUGGGGAGCGAAC